rnacentral:rRNA from 1 species
AGUGAACGCUGGCGGUAGGCUUAACACAUGCAAGUCGAACGGCAGCACAGUAAGAGCUUGCUCUUACGGGUGGCGAGUCGCGGACGGGAGAGGUAUACAACCGAAUCUACUCUUUCGGGGGAGAUAACGUAGGUAAACUUACGCUAAUACCGCAUACGACCUUCGAUUGUAAGCAUGGGAACUUCGGGCCUUGCGCGGAUGAAUGAGCCGAUGUCGUAUUAGCUAGUUGGGGGGUGAAAUGCCCACCAAGGCGACGAUCGGUAGCUGGUCUGAGUGGAUGAUCGGCCACACUGGAACUGAGACACGGUCCAGACUCCUACGGGAGGCAGCAGACGGGAAUAUUGGGCAAAGGGGGCAAGCCUGAUCCAGCCAUCCCGCGUGGGUGAAGAAGGCCUUCGGGUUGUAAAGCCCUUUUGUUGGGAAAGAAAAGCUGCAGGUUAAUACCACGCGGUUCUGACGGUACCCAAUGAAUAAGCACCGGCUAACUACGUG